rnacentral:rRNA from 1 species
UUAAAAAGCUCGUAGUUGGAUUUCUGUGGAGGACGGCCGGUCCGCAUUUUGUGCGUGUAUCUGGUACGGCCUUUGCAUCCUCUUGUGGAACGUUACGGUGCUUGAUUGCAUUGUGCGGAAUGCAAGACUUUUACUUUGAGGAAAUUAGAGUGUUCACGGCAGGCAUGCGCCUUGAAUAUAUUAGCAUGGAAUAAUAAUAUAGGCUUUUCGCCCUAUUUUGUUGGUUUCUAGAGCGAAGAGAAUGGUUA